AUUUUAACCAUCAGUUUACACAUACUUCUCUCCUGUGAGACUGUGAAUUCUUCAAAAGCAGGUACUGUGUUUAAUGAAGUGUGCCCAGGACUUUGCUCAGUGACUGGAUGACACAGUAGGAGUAACAAGAAAGUUCACAUGGGUGAACCGUGGUAGGUGGACAUCGUCUCUCUCACCUCUUCCCAAAUCAAGGAUGAAGUACAUCUUCAUAAAUCCUCAUGUGAAUUAUUUUGCUACCUCUAGAAGCAUUUUCUAAAACAAGGUGCAGCAAUCAGUUGAGUGAAUUUGUCACCAGAGCUUAUGUUUUCUGAAAGAACCCUAUCCUCAGGCAGUUGUUCCUAAGAGGUGAGUUGUGGAUUUAGUUCACAUACCUUCCUUCGUGGCUUAAAAUGCUCCACAUGCCUGUCUCCCCAACAGCAUCAGAUCACCAUGCAGUAAAAUACCAAGUCAGAACAGCCAAUGCUGAAAAGAGUGACAGUUUCCUUUCAUGAUGCAAUGCACUUGGAGCCAGGGGACAGGGAGACAAUAACUGCAAGGAGAAGUGAUGACAACCCUACUUUAAUAUAGUAGUUCCUUUUGAAUUUUAUAGACUUACCCGUUAAUCUCUAGAAUUUUGAAAAAAUUCCUUAAGUGAUGUGAGCAAAUAACACUUUGCCUUGGGUUAGCCUUUUCCUUUCCCUUGAAGAUUCCACAAAUAUGUCAGCGCUGGAAAUGAUCCUUUGGCUUUGAACUAUGUGAAGACUGCAGAAGGACUGGUUGGUAAGCACCCACAUCCUGGGGUGAGAAUCACAUCCAGUUUAUACCUCCCUGUGCACACUUGUAUAAAACAACUAUAAGACACACGAGAGAUCUGGAAGCCAGUUCCUCAUAAGUAAGAAUUGGUCAGGCUGCAUUUGUAUCCUGGGUCCACAAGACAUCGUUUCCUUAAAACCAAUCCCCCUGAUUUUGCUAAGUGUCUGCAAGCCUAAUAUUUCAUGGAUGUUUGACAAGGACCCCGUCUUUAGCUGAACUAAGGAGAAAGUCCUGCAACACACACAUGGAGCUCAGCAAACGGAGGAUGUAACGCACAUGAAAUUUGGUGCUGUGACUCGG
rnacentral:lncRNA from 1 species